rfam:Brassica napus, WGS project CCCW01000000 data, contig: 21179
AUGAAAAAAGUAUGUCAAAAUAGCCAAGGAGACUGCCUGAAACCUAACCCACAGAGAUUCAACAUGAUUUUAAAUUAUCAUACAUGUUGAAUGCAUAAUAAUCCAAAACCCGUCAACGUAUAAAGUUGAAUCGUGGAGGUGAACAAGAGCAGGCAAGUCAUCCUUGGCUACUAAACACGACUCUUUUCG